rnacentral:tRNA from 1 species
UGGGGUAUCGUUCAACGGUAGGACGACUGACUCUGAAUCAGUUAAUUGGAGUUCGAAUCUCUGUACCCCAGCCA